rnacentral:rRNA from 1 species
GGUUAAGUCCCGCAACGAGCGCAACCCCUAUCAUUAGUUGCCAACAGGUAAAGCUGGGAACUCUAAUGAAACUGCCGCCGUAAGGCGUGAGGAAGGAGGGGAUGAUGUCAAGUCAUCAUGGCCUUUAUGCCCAGGGCUACACACGUGCUACAAUGGGAAGUACAAAGGGUUGCUACCUGGUGACAGGACGCUAAUCUCAAAAAACUUCUCUCAGUUCAGAUUGCAGGCUGCAACUCGCCUGCAUGAAGCUGGAAUCGCUAGUAAUCGUAGAUCAGCAAUGCUACGGUGAAUACGUUCCCGGACCUUGUACACACCGCCCGUCAAGCCAUGGAAGCCGGGGGGACCUGAAGUCGGUAACCGCAAGGAGCCGCCUAGGGUAAGACCGGUAACUGGGGCUAAGUCGUAACAAGGUAGCCGAAU